rnacentral:hammerhead_ribozyme from 1 species
ACCAGCUGACGAUUCCAAAACAGGACGAAAUGUGCAUCGUGGAU